GGGUUUUUCUGUUUUCCUUCACUCCGCCUGUUUCAUUUUCAUUUCUUCUCAGAUUUUGAUCUCUUUCAUAGGAUUUCGUAAACUGAUUUUUAGGUUUUCAUCUAUAGAAGAUCGAAAGUUUGAUACAACUUUUUGAAGAUUUCAUUAGGUUUUCUCUUUUCAGAUAUGGUUUUCUAAAUCGUUUUUCCGUUGAAUUUCUUAGUUUUUCCUCGAUUCAUAUCGAUUUUAGAUUGUUCGUGGUCUCUUGUGUCUCAGAUCUGGUUUUCCAAAUCGUUUUUCCGUUGAGUUUCUUAGUUUUUCUUCGAUUUAUAUUGAUUUUAGAUUGUCUGUGGUCUCUUGUGUUUAUUUUUUUUGGUUUUGCAGGUGAUUAGAUGGCGAGGAUUCUAUCAAUUAAGAUGGACAGUUCUGUUUAUAUGUUUCUUUGGUUUAGAAGUUGGAUCUUGGUUUCAGAUGAGAAAGCAGAGGUGAAUCUAUAUGGUGUAUAUCAGUAAUUCUUCAUUUCAAUGAUGUGAAGAGAGAUCCGGAGGCUUGCUGAUUUAUUGAUUGAUUGAUUGAUUGAUGAUAGAUUGGUGAGGAUUUGAGGUUAAAAGAUGAGAUGUGAAAGAGAUCGAUGCAACAUCUCUAUGUACAGAGUAUUGUGUAUCGGAUCUUCUUUGUCAUCCCGACCUUUGCCAUGACAGGUGCGCUUGCUUGGCAGGUCAACCAAACCCUAAUAAAAAAAAAUUGAUUUGUGGUUUAGCAGGGGAGUUCGCACGGGGUCUUUUUUGCCCGGGUUCUCUCUUGUUGUGUGUCUGUGCUGUCACUCUUGCUACGAUUCUUGAAUUGUCUCAAACGUGUUACUCCACUAUCAACAAUAACGAUUAUCCAAUCCCACCGGUGAUGAAUCUCAAAGGAAUUUCACAGCAACGCUGCAGUUUCAGCUCAAGUAGCUCGUUUAUCAGCUAAACAUCCGAUCAACUCGAUUUUUUGGGCUUGCAUAAAAUUAUUACCAUCGGCCAAAUAUCGUACUACCUAUUCGUUAGUCUAUCGAACUAAAUGGUAAGACCCCUCAAACCUCUCAAGGUUUGCGGAGGAUGAUCCUAGUCCUUGUUCAUCCUAUUGUGGCUCGUAGGGUUGGUCAGAUGACUCUUUAGGGUUGGCAAGAGCAGUCAAGGAAGCUGGAAAUACAGGGCAGACGGGUAAUAUACAAAUGCAAACAAAGACUUUGAAGACGGAUUAUGGGAAUCUUUGAAGACGGAUUUUGCUGUAGCUUGUUUAUGAGCUAAAUAUCAGGUGAUCAGCUCACUUUUGUUGGCUUACAUAGUUGCAUGUCUCUCGGGUCUUAGGAUUAGGGCAGAAAUAUCUUUGAAGCAAUUGUUGUUGAGUAUUACUCAUCGUUGACAAAAUCUGGAUGGGUUUUGCAGUAGCUCGUUUAUCAGCCAAAAUAUCUCACUAUCAGCCCAUUUGGUUAGUUUUAACUAAUGGACUUGUAAGCUCAAGAUGGUAAGAGCGCUCAAAUCUCUUAAGGUUUGAAGAGGAUGAUGGUUCGAAUCCAUCCGAGUCCUUGUACAUGCUAUUGUGGCUCUUAGGCUCUGAUUACUGCUUGGCAGGAGCAGUCAAGGAAGCCAGAAAUACUCGUGCGGGCAGGUAGGUAAUAAACAAAUGUUGUGGCAAACAAAGACUUGAGUCACUCGACCUUUCACUGCAGCCAACUGCGCCUCUUCCUGUCUCUUUCAAUCAAUGCAACCAAAGGCUAUGACCUUUCACUACCUACAAAUGGAGGUAAUAUUAUUUUCUUUAAGCACGCAGAUAAAAAAUAUACAAGAUGCCAGAGGCCAUUCUCCCGAUGGGUUGAAUGGAAACCCACUGGUCAGCGUCUCGGAAAAUAAUCUUGUCACACUGCAUUUGCAUGUUUGAUAAGUACAUGUAUGGUGGUAAGGCUUACUCUAGUGGGAGGGUAAGAUUCAAGUUUUUAGUUGAAUCCACAUCACCGAAAUGCAACGCCCGCCCGCCCGCAGUGGUGAUCCGACAUUCCAUGCGCCAUUUGUAACGGCAACAGACGCCAUUAGUCGGAAUUUACAAAGAAGCAAUAUGGAGUCGAGAUAUAAAAACAUCAGCACCUCCAUCACAUGUUUUGCGGGUACACCUCUUUGUAAAUCCUCACGAGACUCAACUCGUCUAGUAUUGAAAGGCUUGUUACACGGGCUAAGUGUAAUCGCGGAUCAGGUGACAAUGACGUAGAUUUAUGAUGUUUCCCUAUUUUAUUUUUAAUUUUAUUUUUAGUUUUUGUUUUUAAUUUAUGAAUAUGUGUGGUGCUGACCGAGUGUACUUUUUUUGGUUAAAUAAAUGUUGAUGUGUACCGUGAAAAUGACAUAGUUAUGUUAUUUUUCCAUGCAUUAUUAAUAAGGUUUUCCCUA